UACGUAGGGUGCAAGCGUUAAUCGGAAUUACUGGGCGUAAAGCGUGCGCAGGCGGCUUUGCAAGACAGAUGUGAAAUCCCCGGGCUCAACCUGGGAACUGCAUUUGUGACUGCAUGGCUGGAGUGCGGCAGAGGGGGAUGGAAUUCCGCGUGUAGCAGUGAAAUGCGUAGAUAUGCGGAGGAACACCGGUGGCGAAGGCGGCAUCCUGGACCGGCAUUGACGCUGAGGAGCGAAAGCCAGGGGAGCAAACGGG
rnacentral:rRNA from 1 species